UGGGGAAUAUUGGACAAUGGGCGCAAGCCUGAUCCAGCCAUGCCGCGUGAGUGAUGAAGGCCUUAGGGUUGUAAAGCUCUUUCGCCGGUGAAGAUAAUGACGGUAACCGGAGAAGAAGCCCCGGCUAACUUCGUGCCAGCAGCCGCGGUAAUACGAAGGGGGCUAGCGUUGCUCGGAAUCACUGGGCGUAAAGCGCACGUAGGCGGAUCGUUAAGUCAGGGGUGAAAUCCUGGAGCUCAACUCCAGAACUGCCCUUGAUACUGGCGAUCUCGAGUUCGAGAGAGGUUGGUGGAACUCCGAGUGUAGAGGUGAAAUUCGUAGAUAUUCGGAAGAACACCAGUGGCGAAGGCGGCCAACUGGCUCGAUACUGACGCUGAGGUGCGAAAGCGUGGGGAGCAAAACAGGAUUAGAUACCCUGGUAGUCCACGCCGUAAAACGAUGGAUGCUAGCCGUUGGGGGGUUUACCUCUCAGUGGCGCAGCUAACGCCUUAAGCAUCCCGCCUGGGGAGUACGGUCGCAAGAUUAAAAACUUAAAGGAAUUGACGGGGUCAUAGCUGUUUCCU
rnacentral:rRNA from 1 species